rnacentral:misc_RNA from 1 species
UUUCCGUAGGUGAACCUGCGGAAGGAUCAUUAUUGUAUAACCGAGGUGCGAGGGCUGUCGCUGACCCGAAAGGUCGUGCACGCCCGAGUGCCCUCACACACAUCCAUCUCACCCCUAUGUGCACCACCGCGUGGGCCCCCCUUGGCUUGUUCGGAGGGGGGCUUACGUUUUCACACAAACUUUGUAUGCAGUGUAGAAUGUAUUUUUUGUUUUUGCGAUCACGCAAUCAAUACAACUUUCAACAAUGGAUCUCUUGGCUCUC